rnacentral:rRNA from 1 species
AUGACAAGUGUGGUCACCACUACGCGAUUUUCCUUGACCCGAAGAACCAACGAUUUGAGGUGCUUGAUUCAAUGCGUUCAGAAGCGGAUGAAGACCUUACUACGCAUGCUGAAUACUUCAUCAACAACCUCAAAGAGACAUGGAGCCGUCACUACGAAAACUCAAAGGUCCAGAUCAGACAUUUUCCAAUCGAGUACGUCGCGACUACGAAGCAAGGAAACCGGCACGACUAUGGCUUUCACACGUUGGAAUACCUUGCAAACAAAGAAGGUUGACGGGUCCCUGUCAUCACAACUGCAAUGGUCAUCGAGCUCCGCAAAAUAUACACAUGGAACUAGUUGA